rnacentral:lncRNA from 1 species
AACAUUAUAUAAAAGAAAAAAUAAAUAACAAAUUAGACCAGCAAAUUUAUUGGCCUAUUGGACCUGGGCUGCGCACGUCUACUCAAAAAGAACCUAUGAAUGGGCUCAUAGCAUGGGCUACUGGGCUGAUUGAUAGAGAGGCGGCUUUGAGUAGGAGAUCCUAUAUAUUUUUUUGUAGAUUAGUGCGUGUCCCUUCAUCCAUCCGAUCACAUCAAAUCUUUCCUUCGCUCGUUUCUAUCCCUAGCAUGCACCCCAUCAUUCCCCCGUGCCACCGCUUGCCGCUUGCGCCUCUGCUGCUACUCGCUCCAU